UACAGAGGUCUCAAGCGUUGUUCGGAAUCACUGGGCGUAAAGGGUGCGUAGGCGGCUUGGUAAGUCAGAUGUGAAAGCUCAGGGCUCAACCCUGAAAUUGCAUCCGAUACUGCCAGGCUAGAGAACUGGAGAGGUGUCUAGAAUUCUCGGUGUAGCAGUGAAAUGCGUAGAUAUCGAGAGGAAUACCAAUGGCGAAGGCAGGACACUGGACAGUUUCUGACGCUGAGGCACGAAGGCUAGGGUAGCGAACGGG
rnacentral:rRNA from 1 species